UACGAAGGGGGCGAGCGUCGUUCGGAUUUACUGGGCGUAAAGGGCGCGCAGGCGGCCAUUCAAGUCAGGCGUGAAAGCCCCGGGCUUAACCUGGGAACUGCGUCUGGGACUGGGUGGCUAGAGGUCGGGAGAGGAGAGUGGAAUUCCCAGUGUAGAGGUGAAAUUCGUAGAUAUUGGGAAGAACACCGGUGGCGAAGGCGGCUCUCUGGACCGAUACUGACGCUGAGGAGCGAAAGCAUGGGGAGCGAACAGG
rnacentral:rRNA from 1 species